GACGAACGCUGGCGGCGUGCCUAAUACAUGCAAGUAGAACGCUGAAGGAGGAGCUUGCUCUUCUGGAUGAGUUGCGAACGGGUGAGUAACGCGUAGGUAACCUGCCUGGUAGCGGGGGAUAACUAUUGGAAACGAUAGCUAAUACCGCAUAAGAGUAGAUGUUGCAUGACAUUUGCUUAAAAGGUGCAAUUGCAUCACUACCAGAUGGACCUGCGUUGUAUUAGCUAGUUGGUGGGGUAACGGCUCACCAAGGCGACGAUACAUAGCCGACCUGAGAGGGGGAUCCGCCACACUGGGACUGAGACACGGCCCAGACUCCUACGGGAGGCAGCAGUAGGGAAUCUUCGGCAAUGGACGGAAGUCUGACCGAGCAACGCCGCGUGAGUGAAGAAGGUUUUCGGAUCGUAAAGCUCUGUUGUAAGAGAAGAACGAGUGUGAGAGUGGAAAGUUCACACUGUGACGGUAGCUUACCAGAAAGGGACGGCUAACUACGUG
rnacentral:rRNA from 1 species